UACAGAGGUAGCUAGCGUUGUUCGGAAUGACUGGGUGUAAAGCGCGUGUAGGCGGUUUUGUAAGUUGAAUGUGAAAUCCCUUGGCUUAACCAAGGAACUGCAUUCAAAACUGCAUUACUUGAGCACGGAAGAGGAAAGUGGAAUUUCUGGUGUAGCGGUGAAAUGCGUAGAUAUCAGAAGGAACACCGGUGGCGAAGGCGACUUUCUGGUCCGUUUCUGACGCUGAGACGCGAAAGCUAGGGGAG
rnacentral:rRNA from 1 species